GAAAAGAAAACUUCCUAAAUUCUAUGCUCUCCUACAACCCCUAACAUUUACAUGCCUGGUUUCUGUGUCAUUUCUCGGCAGUUUUUAUGUCAAAUGUACUCGGAGUAUGGAAACUGUAGCUUUCGGUAGCCCAAUUCAAGCAUAUGUAUGAAAGACUAAUGUUAUUCUAUAGUGACCUAAGCUUUAUUGGGAAAAUGCACAAGUAACCCGCAAUUGAUAACUGAAAUUCCAAUUACACAUUUUUCUUUUGAAUUGUUACCCUCGUCAAAGGCCACAACCACAUAUAUGUUGAUUGCUGAAGCCACACGCCAUGUACAUUUCAGUAGGAAUAUUCUUUUAUCUUUUCUCAUUCCUUACCUUGUUUUUGUUUUAUUAUUCUAUUCUCUUUUUUUCCUCGCUUUCCUUUCUCUUUUUCUAGUUACCUUCUUUCCAUACGUGACCACCCCCACUCCCAUAAAAUUUUCUUUUUUAUUUACCAAAUCUAAAAUUAUUGUUUAGUUUGGGUUAUGCAAGAAGAAUAUAAUCAUCAAUGGUAGGAUCUGUUGUUAAUAUGGUGGACCCAGUGACGAAUGCUUUGCAAAAUUUAGCGAGAAAAAAUUGAUUUUGAUGGUCGGAAAACUUUUUGGUGAGGGACUUCCUUCACAACCUGGUUAUUUUUCUUGCAAAUUUAUGGACCGAUAGUAGGAAAAUUUUCUACAAGUAAUGAAUUUCACAAAUUUAUUUACAUUUUAAAUCAUUUAGAAUGAACUUGCAAUUACUGAGUUUUUAAAAUAAUUUUUGUCUUCUUAAAAAGCUAGUUAAUUAUGCUUCAAUGGUGUUUUCAUGGCUUACUGUUGAUUUUGAAAUCGGGUGUAGGGUGGCCUCUUUGUGGAUUAUGUCAGUAGGGGGAGGGAGUUGCUAUAUCUGGCUUCUGGUAGUGGCAGAGAAAUUUGGGAGUUGUGAUGCGGUGGUGACAUCGGCCAUGUUGCUAAUUGGGUAGAGGAAGAAAACAAAAUUAAGAAAAGAAAAAGUAAGAAAAAUUAAAAACAUGUAUAUAUUUAAUAAAAGGCGAUUUAAAUAUAAAAUUUUAGCAUUUAUUUUUGUUGUUCAUUCUCUUUUAAGGGAGUGAAAUAUAAUACACUCACUUUGCCGUACAAGCAUUUAGGGAGGUAAAAACUUCAUUUUAAAAUAGUUCAAGAGGGUAAUAGUACUACCCAAAAGGAAAGGUAUGUGAUUGAAACUUCGGUCACAGGUUGGAAGGUACACUUGUACAUUUUCCCAACUCUAUACUCUCUGAUAUGAAUGAUUGAAUAUGCAUUUGCAGUUCAAGUUUUUAUAAUCUGCUAGUACAACUGAGUUCCAAGUCUAUAAUCUAUAAAAAUUCACACCAAUAACUGUUGACCUAAGUUCAGGUGAAAUUUUGAAGAAUGACAAAUGAACUCAGUCAUGGACCGGUCCAUCAUGUGAGGCACAAUAUUUAUCAACCUAGGCAUGUGAGAUACACGUGAAGGGGAUAAGUCUCUGUGGUCGAGCAGUAAUAUCUUCUGAACCGAUCGAAAAUUUUGCAUAUUGGAUGAGGAGAGAAAGUCUCCUCAUGGGAAGAGUACACAAUCUGGAUAAAGGAUAGGGUUGGAGUUUGUGUUGUUCAAGGACUCAACUUCGAUGGAAAAUCAGCAAAUAGUCUCAAUCAAACUCUAUUUACUAACUCAUUAAAUAACAAUGAUUGUUCUCUUUUACAGGUAUUGCACAUAUGCAUAAGUUAAACCAAAUUGAGAGCAAAAGAUCAAGGCAAUUUUUCAAGCAAUUUAUGUGAGAUUUAAGUGAGCACUCCUGAAGCUACUUGAACGACAUGGAAGAACUAGUUCCAUUGUGUUUAUUCUUAUUCUAGUUCAAUUGUAGUAGGUGGUUUGGAGUUGUACCUUUUCAGCUUUCAUAAAAGCAUUUGUAAUAUUUUCUUUGAGUGGUAAAGUUAUAUGCUAACUUCAAGGUAUCGCAAUAGUUGAGGUUGUUUGCGACACAUGUAUUGGAGUUAAUCCUUAUGUUUACAAAGAGUUUUGUAAAUGCUAUUUUGGCUCAGCGAUAUUAGUAAAACUUUGGGAAAAA
rnacentral:lncRNA from 1 species